ACUUCAGAUACAACACAAUAAUCAAAAUCUCCCUUAGCGUCUGUAUGGAACGUACCAGGCAGAGCAGCAGCUCAACCGCUGCGCUGUAAGAUGACGUAGUAUUAGG